UACAGAGGUCUCAAGCGUUUGUUCGGAUUCAUUGGGCGUAAAGGGUGCGUAGGUGGCGGGGCAAGUUGGAUGUGAAAUCCCGGAGCUUAACUCCGGAACUGCAUUCAAUACUGCCUUGCUAGAGUACUGGAGAGGAGAUUGGAAUUUACGGUGUAGCAGUGAAAUGCGUAGAUAUCGUAAGGAAGACCAGUGGCGAAGGCGGAUCUCUGGACAGUUACUGACACUGAGGCACGAAGGCCAGGGGGAGCAAAACGGGG
rnacentral:rRNA from 1 species